rnacentral:rRNA from 1 species
UACGUAGGGGGCGAGCGUUGUCCGGAAUCACUGGGCGUAAAGGGCGUGUAGGCGGCCCGUUAAGUCCGGGGUGAAAGCCCACGGCUCAACCGUGGGAUUGCCUCGGAAACUGGCGGGCUUGAGGGCAGGAGAGGGAAGCGGAAUUCCCGGUGUAGCGGUGAUAUGCGUAGAUAUCGGGAGGAACACCAGUGGCGAAGGCGGCUUCCUGGCCUGUCCCUGACGCUGAGGCGCGAAAGCGUGGGGAGCGAACGGG